GCUAGGCUUAGUCCUGUGGGUAAAUUCUGGCCACAGGAAUGGAAAUGAUGCAUGCGAUUUCAGGGCCAUGCCUUUCUUCUCUUCUGCUCCUGUGGUGUGGAUGUGGUGGUGAGCCCUGUGGACCAUGGGGGCAAAGUUCUCAUCCUAAGAAGAAACCCGAGGAAGCAGGGGAAGCUCUUGGUGGAAAGAUGAGUGUGAAGUGUGUGGUGAGAAAGAUGCAGAGAAGGGACAGCAGGCAGAGGGUGGCUGUCACCAUUUUCAAUGCCAUUCCGGCCCCAGCAUGGUUCCUGUAGGGCCUAGAUGUGUAUCUUGCUGUUGCAUGUCAUAAAUUGCCCUCUGUUCUUUAUAUUUGAGUUACUGUGACUGAGUUUUUCUUUCUGGCAACCAGGU
rnacentral:lncRNA from 1 species